CAGCAGCCGCGGUAAUACGUAGGGUGCAAGCGUUAAUCGGAAUUACUGGGCGUAAAGCGUGCGCAGGCGGUUUGUUAAGACAGAUGUGAAAUCCCCGGGCUCAACCUGGGAACUGCAUUUGUGACUGGCAAGCUAGAGUGUGGCAGAGGGGGGUGGAAUUCCGCGUGUAGCAGUGAAAUGCGUAGAUAUGCGGAGGAACACCGAUGGCGAAGGCAGCCCCCUGGGCCAACACUGACGCUCAUGCACGAAAGCGUGGGGAGCAAACAGGAUUAGAGACCCGCGUAGUCCCUGUCUCUUAUAC
rnacentral:rRNA from 1 species